AGAGUUUGAUCCUGGCUUAGGAUGAACGCUAGCUACAGGCUUAACACAUGCAAGUCGAGGGGCAGCAUGAACUUAGCUUGCUAAGUUGAUGGCGACCGGCGCACGGGUGAGUAACGCGUAUCCAACCUUCCCCUUAGUAGGGCAUAGCCCGAUGAAAAUCGGAUUAAUACCCUAUGUUCUUCAUAGAUGACAUCUGACAUGAAGCAAAGAUUUAUCGCUAAGGGAUGGGGAUGCGUCCGAUUAGGUAGUCGGCGGGGUAACGGCCCACCGAGCCAUCGAUCGGUAGGGGUUCUGAGAGGAAGGUCCCCCACAUUGGAACUGAGACACGGUCCAAACUCCUACGGGAGGCAGCAGUGAGGAAUAUUGGUCAAUGGGCGAGAGCCUGAACCAGCCAAGUAGCGUGCAGGAUGACGGCCCUAUGGGUUGUAAACUGCUUUUAUGCGGGGAUAAAGUGAGGGACGUGUCCCUUUUUGUAGGUACCGCAUGAAUAAGGACCGGCUAAUUCCGUGCCAGCCGCCGC
rnacentral:rRNA from 1 species